GCUGUUCUGGCUUCUGAGAUUCAGAAUAUUUUUUUUCUUGUUUUCCUCCUCCAAAAACUAGGUGCGUCUUGUGGUCUGGUGCGUCUUAUAGAGCGAAAAAUACGGUAAGUACUUAACCCGAGGUACCACUGUAUACCAUUGUUCACUGCUCCUGCUCAGGCUGCACAGAAAAAGCAAUUUGGCCCCAGAAAUUCAUUCCAACUGUGCAGAUAAAAUAUAACGGAUGGAAUUUUACAGCAUGGGGUGUUAGUGUGUGAAAACAGUCCAAAUCCAAGGGUCCCCCAAUGCUGGAGAUUUCAGGUACCCUCCUGGUACCCAGCCAUCUUCUUCACUUUGUCGAAAGUGGUUGAAAGCCAGGUGUUGUAGCCUGGUGCCCAGGUAAUUUCAAACACUGGAAGUGUGGGUUGUUAAGGGACAUACAACUAUUGCUAACUUUAUUGUAGCACUUUUGGGGGGAAAAUGCAUGGGUUUUUCCCCUCCCAGUCAUCCAGAGCCACACUAAACUCUCCUGACUUUUGAAGCCAAAACUGUUUUUGGCUGAGGUCCUUCUGAGCUGGAACUGAAUGAAUACUUCCAUAUUGAAUCUUUGCGGCUGGCCUAGAAGCUCCUAUCGAGACUUGCAAACUUGGGGAUGAAUUCAAGUGAAGGUUGGAGCAAAACUCUGUAAAGCAAUCCAAGUGCAGUGGUAGUUAAAUUGCACGGCAGAACUUGGUGCUUUGAUGAUGGCAGCUCCUCAGAGCCGCAGUGUUGCACCUGCAAAGCACGGUUGCAAUUUGUUUCGGUACAAAUGCUCCACUCGUGUGUAGUGGUACCGAGAGAGAAAUCUUGAAGCACGCAGACAAUUUUCAAGGCUCUUUUUGGAAUUAACUGCUGAGAGAGAUAACUUGGAAGUGAAAAAGCACUUGCUAUGAGCUGUUUUCCGUGAACGGCCUAAGUCUGUUAUCUAUCCUCUUGUGGUUUAUGUCUUGAUGGCUUAUAAAGCAGCUGUUUCCAAAACGUCUGACAGCUGAAGCACAAUCCUCUGCACUGCUGGAUGAAAACAUCACUCCUUGCAGCCAAAAAUUGUUUUAUUUUUAAAGUGUGUAACACUUGCCCCAUCCCCUUGGAGCAUCUUCUGUCUUAGGAAAGGAGUAUGUAGCUGCUCAUUACUAGUCUCCGAUGAAUGGCAGCGGCUGUCCAAAGCCUCAGGCAGAGAACUCUUUCCAACAUUGGCCACCAGAUCUCUUUUAACUGGGGGUGUCAGGGAACGAACCUGUGGUUCUCAGCAUGCCACAUCCAUGCUGUUCCACAGAACUGUGGUGUCUCCAAAUUUCUGCACAAAUCACUGAUGUGGAUAUCCCUGCUGCUUAGAACAAGGCAAACCCAGGGCAGAAACUCAUGCAGAGAUGCAACAGCCAGUCUCCUCUGUGUGCAUCCAAUUCAGUGUGUGUGUCCUUGGUACCUGUAAAAAGCAUUAAGGCGAGUUGUAGAUCAAGCUAGGGAGUGGGAGACUGGAGCUGUGGGAGAAAUUCCCCAUGCAGUUUGCAGAGUUUGUAAAACCCUAGGCUGUUGUUUAGGCGUUUAGUCGUGUCUGACUCUUCGUGACGCCAUGGACCAGAGCACGCCAGGCACUCCUGUCUUUCACGGCCUCCCGCAGCUUGGUCAAACUCAUGUUAGUAGCUUUGAGAACACUGUCCAGCCAUCUCGUCCUCUGUCGUCCCCUUCUCCUUGUGCCCUCCAUCUUUCCCAACAUCAGGGUCUUUUCCAGGGAGUCUUCUCUCCUCAUGAGGUGGCCAAAGUCUUGGAGCCUCAGCUUCAGGAUCUGCCCUUCAAGUGAGCACUCAGGGCUGAUUUCCCUAAGAAUGGAUAGGUUUGAUCUUCUUGCAGUCCAUGGGACUCUCAAGAGUCUCCUCCAGCACCAUAAUUCAAAAGCAUCAAUUCUUCGGCGAUCAGCCUUCUAGCCGCAUCAUUAAAAGUCCCUUCUCAGAAUGAAGGAUGCUUGGGGAAGACAGCCCAGCAGAGCUUCCCAGGGUGUUCGCAUUGCUGCCACCUUUGAAUUGUUUCUGAAUUGAUUGGAUCUGAUGGCACGACGGCUACCUGGGACCUCCAUUGUCAGAAAGAAUGCAAGCCGCUGGAGAACACCUGUGGCAGAGAGCUGUUGCCUUCAUGCCUCGCUCGGGGGCUUCCCAACAGCAUCUCUUUGCUCAUGGUGCAAAGCAGGAUCAGACCCUGGGUCUGAUACAGCAGGGCCCUUCUUAAGCCCUGCUGAGCUUGCAGAUCUGUGAGUGAAGCAAAAUCCCGUUUUCGUUGGGGCUGAAAACCCUGAAUCAUUUAAUUGCGACUCUCUCCUGCCUCUUCUCCCAUACCUCUCGAGACAGCAUGCAUGGAAGAUAUUGGGUGGCCUCCCACACAGGCGCUGAGCAAGAUCCCAGACCUGGGUGCCUUCGGGCUGUAGACUUGCAACCGGAUCGUCAUGGAAUGCUGAGUCCCUGCUGUGUUGCCAGGCGCCCAGAACGUUCUCCUGGCAUGUUUUCUCCUAAGCACUCGCCUCUAUGACGCUGGUGAGGUUCUCAAGCUACCCCAUACUAUGGCAGGAAUUCACCUUGGGCGCAUGCUUGCACAUCUCCUCUUCUUCCCCUGCCUUCCUCAUUUAUUUAAGCCAGGCAGCUGCAUGGGGAUCCCAGAAGCUAUACCGCGGUGUGUGUUUGUUGCCAGUAAUUUCAAAGCAGUGCAAUAGGUCAUUCACUCCCCUAACUGAAUGCUAUAUGUCUUGGGUCUCAUCUGAUUUCCUCAAAAUAAGCAGUCACGGCGUCUGUGCGUUGCCUGAGGUCUACACACAUAUUUCACAACGAUCUUUUGUCCACAACAUCUCCUGUUCCGUAUACAGUGGUACCUUGCUUGUUGAACGGCUUAGCUCCCAAACAAAUUGUCUCCUGAACACCGCAAACCUGGAAGUAAGUGUUCUGGUUUGCGAACAUUUUUUGGAAACCGAAUGUCCAACGCAGCUUAUGCGGCUUAUGAUUCACUGCAAGAAGCUCCUGCAGCCAAUUGGAGGCCACGCCUUGGUUUUCAAACGGUUCCGGGAGUCGAACAGACUCCCAGAAUUGAUUAAAGUCAAGAACCAAGGUACCACUGUAUAAACAUCCAGAUAAUAAUAAAUAAUAAUAAAUAUUUAUUUAUACGCCGCCCUUCCCGGUACAAAAACCAGGCUCAGGGCAGCUAACAACAAAUUGAAAACACAAUUGUAAAAGCAGCAUAAAAUGCAGUAU